ensembl:misc_RNA Metazoa_SRP Metazoan signal recognition particle RNA
GCUGAGUGUGGUGGCGCAUGCCUGUAAUCCCAGUUACUUGGGAGGCUGAGGCAGGAGAAUUGCUUGAACCCAGGAGGCAGAGGUUGCAGUGAGCUGAAGCACAACUGCACUUCAGCCUGGGUGACAGAGCAAGACUCUGUCUCAA